rnacentral:rRNA from 1 species
UACGUAGGGGGCAAGCGUUGUCCGGAUUUAUUGGGCGUAAAGAGCGUGUAGGCGGUUUGGUAGGUCCGCUGUGAAAACUCGAGGCUCAACCUCGAGACGCCGGUGGAAACCAUCAGACUAGAGUCCGGAAGAGGAGUGUGGAAUUCCUGGUGUAGCGGUGAAAUGCGCAGAUAUCAGGAGGAACACCAAUGGCGAAGGCAGCACUCUGGGACGGUACUGACGCUGAGACGCGAAAGCGUGGGGAGCAAACAGG